rnacentral:misc_RNA from 1 species
AGAAGGCAUGCGGUGCUCUUUAUUUCCUCGCUCAGGGUUACGAGGAUGUAGCACAUUUUGCAUCACCAUUAUCCCCUUUCUUCCAUGAUAUUGUUCAGGCUCUUCUUAAUGUGACCCAUAGGGAAGACGCAGGAGAGUCCCACCUGCGUAUCGCAGCAUAUGAGUCUCUGAAUGAGGUAGUAAGGAGUUCGACUGACGAGACAAUGCCUAUUGUGGUGCAAUUGAUCCCGGUGAUCAUGAUGGAGCUCCA